rnacentral:rRNA from 1 species
GCGAGCGUUGUUCGGAAUUAUUGGGCGUAAAGGGUGCGUAGGCGGUUCUGUAAGUUUUAUGUGAAAUCUUCGGGCUUAACUCGAAGCCUGCAUAAAAUACUGCCGGGCUUGAGUAUGGGAGAGGUGAGUGGAAUUUCCAGUGUAGCGGUGAAAUGCGUAGAUAUCGGAAGGAACACCUGUGGCGAAAGCGGCUCACUGGACCAUAACUGACGCUGAGGCACGAAAGCUAGGGGAGCAAACAGG